AAGGAUCAUUACAGAUAAUAAUAAUCAUAUUAUCUUUCCAAACCCCCUAUUGUGAACUUUUGGUGUAAGCAAGUAAGUGCCCCUAUUAGAUUAGGGGCUUUGAAAGCUUGCAAUCCAACUUUUUUCAUACACACACACACUACUGUAUGGUCAACGAAUGUAAUGUUCAUAAUGAAAUAUAAAUAACUUUCAGCAACGGAUCUCUUGGCUCUCGCAUCGAUGAAGAACGCAGCGAAAUGCGAUAAGUAAUGUGAAUUGCAGAAUUCAGUGAAUCAUCGAAUCUUUGAACGCACCUUGCACCUCUUAGUAUUCUGAGAGGUACACCUGUUUGAGUAUCAUUAAAUUCUAUCCAGCAGCUUUUCAUUUAUUGAAAGCUGUUUGGGACUUGGGGGGAAUUACAAUUGCAGAUUUUAUUAUUUGCUCCCCUUGAAUGUAUUAGCAGGGAAUUGUAUUAUUGGUCCUUGGGUUUGAUGUGAUAAAAUGUCUCCUCUAACCCUCUGACUGUUCUGCUUCAAACUGUCUUAAUUUCCUAUAAGACAAACAUUUCAUAAAAUUCAUGAUCUCAAAUCAGGUGGGACUACCCGCUGAACUUAA
rnacentral:rRNA from 1 species